AACACAGUGCUGCAUGGCUGUCGUCAGCUCGUGUCGUGAGAUGUUGGGUUAAGUCCCGCAACGAGCGCAACCCUUGUCAUUAGUUGCUACGAAAGGGCACUCUAAUGAGACUGCCGGUGACAAACCGGAGGAAGGUGGGGAUGACGUCAAGUCCUCAUGGCCCUUAUGGGUAGGGCUACACACGUCAUACAAUGGCCGGUACAAAGGGCAGCCAACCGCGAGGGGGAGCCAAUCCCGUAAAGCCGGUCGUAGUCCGGAUCGCAGUCUGCAACUCGACUGCGUGAAGUCGGAAUCGCUAGUAAUCGUGGAUCAGCAAUGUCACGGUGAAUACGUUCCCGGGUCUU
rnacentral:rRNA from 1 species